rnacentral:rRNA from 1 species
GACGAACGCUGGCGGCGUGCUUAACACAUGCAAGUCGAGCGGUAAGGACCCUUUCGGGGGUACGACGAGCGGCGAACGGGUGAGUAACACGUGGGUGACCUGCCUUUAGCUCUGGGAUAAGCCUGGGAAACUGGGUCUAAUACCGGAUAUGACUCCGCGGUGCAUGCUAGUGGGGUGGAAAGUCCUUGUGCGGCUGGAGAUGGGCCCG